rnacentral:rRNA from 1 species
CCUACGGGCGGCAGCAGUGAGGAAUAUUGGUCAAUGGACGAGAGUCUGAACCAGCCAAGUAGCGUGAAGGAUGACUGCCCUAUGGGUUGUAAACUUCUUUUAUAUGGGAAUAAAAUGUUCCACGUGUGGGAUUUUGUAUGUACCAUAUGAAUAAGGAUCGGCUAACUCCGUGCCAGCAGCCGCGGUAAUACGGAGGAUACGAGCGUUAUCCGGAUUUAUUGGGUUUAAAGGGAGCGUAGGUGGAUUGUUAAGUCAGUUGUGAAAGUUUGCGGCUCAACCGGAAAAUUGCAGUUGAAACUGGCAGUCUUGAGUACAGUAGAGGUGGGCGGAAUUCGUGGUGUAGCGGUGAAAUGCUUAGAUAUCACGAAGAACUCCGAUUGCGAAGGCAGUUCACUGGACUGCAACUGACACUGAGGCUCGAAAGUGUGGGUAUCAAACAGGAUUAGAUAUCCGAGUAGUC